UUUGCUGUUGUUUUCUGUUUUUUUUUUCUUUUUGUUUAGUUUAUUGAGACAGGGUUUCUCUAUGUAUCUCUGGCUGACCUGGAACUCACUCUGUAGACCAGGCUGACCUUGAACUCACAGAGAUCCGCCCGCCUCUGCCUCCCGAGUGCUGGGAUUAAAGCUGUAGAUCAACGUAUGAAACUGUGAUUCAUUUUCUUGAGUUCUAUUCUGUUUCAUCUUGGUGCCAUUGCCCGAAGAACAGACCGGGUUCCCUGCGAUGAAAGGAGACAGAGACAGAGUCCCACAUUGGAGCACCAGACUACAACCCCAAGGUCCAAAUCAGGAGCAGAAGGAGAGAGAGCACAAGCAAGGAACUCAGGGCCAUGAGGGGUGCACCCACACACUGAGACAAUGGGGAUGCUCUUUCGGGAACUUGCCUUAGAAGUAUUCUAACAUGGAAUGGGCAUCAGCUGAUGUCUGGGUGUCAAAGAUCACUCUGGGGGCACCUUCUUCUUUCCAUCUCUUUUAACUGAUUAUGUGUCAUUGGCAGCAUAAAAACCACUGUUUUCUCUGAACAGUUGUUGAGAAAUCUCCUGACACUUGCAGAAAAACCCGAUAGAGGACUCCUGGACUUCCUGGAAAAGCAACAAUUGGGACAUAGCAAUAGAAUACUCUAUGUAAUAGCUUCUAACUGAUAUGGAAAGGAAACUAUAUUUUAAGCAGAAUGCCAAGGAACUACUUCUUACCUGGUCUGCCUGUCACGUACCUGCUUCCACACAAGAGUGGAAUCUGCUGUGUUUUCGGCUUCUUAUCAUUUCUCCCAGGUGUGGUGCAUCACAUAAAGGGCCCUAAAGGGUGGCUGAAUCACUUGAAACUCAUUUUUCCCCAUCGCUAGCGGACUAUGUGACUGAACAAGUGCUAAUUAGGGCACAGGAUGAGUCUUUCCUUACAGGGUUGAACGAGGACGAAAUGAGAUAAUGCAGAAGCAUCGU